CUGGGCGACGGAUCUGCAGAGGGAGGCUCCUUUUCCACUUCUCCCCACCGUCCCACCGGCCGCACUUAACUCCAGACUCCUUAUUUUCUUUUUUCUUUUCCUUUUUUUUUGCCUUAGGAAAGGAUGGGGGGGGGUGGGGGGAGGAUAGGAGAAGCAGAGGGAAGGGGAGGAGUUUCUCCAGCUCCGGCCUUUUAAUCCCAGCAGCGAGGUGUCAGUAGGGACCUUCAGAAGAGCAGGAGAUGCCCUUACAAACGCUGGUCGCUUUCUCGCUCUUCCGCCCUUUCAAAAAUAUCCGGAGCAUCCUGGGGGGAAGUGACCCUUCUUCCCUCGGCAAUCUCCGCACCCUUCUACACUGGAUUUGACAAUUAGACCAAGCCCGUCACAGCCACAGACUUUGAAUCCCCAUCGCUUAAAUGCAGAUUUUUACUGGGCUGGAAGCUGUGGCUGUUUGCAUUCACCAGCUACAUCAGAAUUACCUCCAUCAAAUCUCAUGGGAUUCUGUGAAACAGUGAUUUAUAAGCACUGAAGGGAGAAGGUAAGCGUUUCCCAAGAAAAUCGUCUUAUCUUCCGAAAAAAUACAAGAUUGCGAUGGCUAUCUUAAGAAAUACAAGAAUUCAGAUUUAUUUCCCUCCUUAUGGAAGUCUUGGGAUUGAACAGAUGCAAAGCUGCAUCAGGUUCCUACAGGACAUCAUGGAAGGAAACAGACCCAGAAAUGAGACCGCAGGGGUUAACAACAUUGUCACCAGGUCAGAAAGGGAUAUUAACAGCACAUGGAUGGAGGAAGCAGGAUUCCCCCAGAUGGAAAACGGUGCCUGGGAGAGCCUGGGAGUCCCCCCGAAAAAGUGGGGUCUAUAACGUGCUUCCCUCCUCUGCCAAUUAAGUGCUGCUGCCAAGGGAUUCAGGAACGACAGACCCCUGGCAUCAAGAGUGAGAAAAUUACUAAUAAACACAUCUAUCAAACAACA
rnacentral:lncRNA from 1 species